UGAACAUCACUGAUUCUGAUGAGGGCUUCUACUACUGUGGAACUGAACAGACAACAGUGGAGAAUGCAGAAUACAUUAAACGCAAAAUAGAUUACAGAUAUGGCAACGUCACCACAAGGAUCCUAUUCAAUUCCAGCCCUCACCUCAGUGUGGCUGACCCAAGCCCUGUGUUUGCUGAGCCCUGGAUGGUGUUCACUAUAGCCUUCACUAUUCUCUCCUCCGUCAUCUCCUUUAUUUUGGUUUAUCACUUCUGUCAGGAAACAGACAAAGAAUCUCAAGUUCUCCAGGAAAGACCAGACACCAGGGGACAAACGAGACGGGAUCAGGAUGAAGACGCGUGUUUCACACGAGUUGUGUUCCGGGCUAAGGAUGGACAAACACGCCAAUAGGCAGAGGGUGGACGGCACAAGCACGCCUGCUUUACUCAAGCAGAAAACCAAAUAGAGUGAAAUGAUUUCCACUUCCUCUUGUUUGUUGUCCUGUGGUUUAAGAAACGCCUCAAGCAAGUGGGUGCAGGCUUUUGGGCCAAUCUGUUAUCAGGCUUAUAAUCAACCAGACAGCAAUGGUCUCUUUUUUUUUCAAACUUACAUAUAGAUACAUUUUUAGAAACUGUUUAAAAUGUACUUUUCUAACUUUGUCGCAUGUUAAGCUAAAGCAUUGUACCUUGCUUUUAUUUCUGAUUAGUUAAAAUGAAA